UACAUUUUUAUGUAUAUAUAUCUUAUAUUAAUAUGUUUAGAGUAACUGCACGCAUUAGGCGUUGGAUACGUUUGGAAGCAUUAUAUGUUAUUAUCAAUCGGCUCAGAAAUUAUUUUUUGAUCUGUUCUGGUCUGGUGUUUGGUGUUGACGCUACUUUUUAAAAUGCAAGAUGUACUUGUACAUAUAUUAUAUGUUAUGUAUUUCACCCCUCCCACCAAUAUCUAUUGAUGCAUGAAAUAGCAACUCAGCACAGCUUAAACAAAUUAGACCAGACAAUAUGAAGCUCUUUUGAAACUCUUAUGAUUGUAAGUCCAGCUGGAACUUACAAAAGGGAAUAUGUUCGAGUAAACCUAAAGAAACUAAAAAAAUUGUCAAUUGGUACCAUUGUAGCUUAUCAGGUAUCGUGUUGUUAUGUUGCGAUGCUAUCAACUUAGAUAAAGUCCCUUCAGUGUUUUUUAUGUACAACAGUUUUUUGUUGUUGCGUCGUUUGGCUAUGGAUGAUCGUUAUUUAGAACCUAAUGAGGAUUAAACCCGUUAGAGCUCCCCAUUCAUGGGUUCUAUUGGUAUGGUCCAGCGUUUUUGAGGAAACCAAUAAGUGAAUGGGAUUUUAAGCCGACUUCUGUAUCAGUUGAUCAGCUGCCAGAGAUCUGGCAGGUUCUUGUCUCAAUGGACUGGUAUUAUACGCCAGAGAUCAGACACCACUAAUGAGAAAAUGACAAGAAAAAUCUCGUUGACACCAACCCAACCCACUGGGCUACACCGACCCAAAAGUUUAAAUUAUUUAAUAUUAAAAAAAAAAUACUUAGUCUAGGCUAAUAACUCUGUUUGUCUAUAAAAAAAGUGCAUAUUUUGUAUUUACAGAUCUAAUAAUAUUUCUUAAGUAUUUACUAAGUAACAAAUAUCUUUAAUUACAACAAUGGAUAUUAUAAUUAUUAUAUUAUAUUAAGUAAUAU